UACGGAGGGAUCUAGCGUUAUUCGGAAUUACUGGGCGUAAAGCGAGCGUAGCCGGCUCUGUAAGUUUUCGGUUAAAUCUAUGCGCUCAACGUAUGGGCUGCCGAAAAUACUGUAGAGAUAGGGAGUGGGAGAGGUAGACGGUACUCAGUAGGAAGGGGUAAAAUCCUUUGAUCUAUUGAUGACCACCUGUGGCGAAGGCGGUCUACCAGAACACGUUCGACGGUGAGGGAUGAAAGCUGGGGGAGCAAACCGG
rnacentral:rRNA from 1 species